rnacentral:lncRNA from 1 species
GUCCUGGUACUUCCUUUCCUGGUAACCUGAGAUCGCAAUAGAAAGUUGAACAAUAAAUUCAGGACAAUUCUGGACGACAAUCAUAAAUUGGAGAACUGCAGAUACCUGUGGACGACCUGUGGAAGUGGAUCCUCCGUCGGUGGAGGAACGACCAAUUGGCGUGCCCCAAACUGCCUCAUGACCCUCUGCUGGGCCAUCUCCUCCACGCAGACAUCGAAGAUGAUCUUUGAUUUUGUCAUCCUGUAAGCGUAAUCUCUCAUGCAGACCGUGGACAUCCCGCCAGGGUAUCUAUCCUCGAUGGCGUCCUGUGUGUACGGCUCCCAGACAACCGCCUCAAAGUGCAACACGUCGAACUGCUCGUUGAAUGAUGGGUAGCAAUUCCUGACCUGAUCGUGUGCAAAGCGUCUCUGUAAAAAAAAAAAUUUAGCUUCAUUCAUGGUUUAUGUAAACUAAUGUAUGAAUUUCACAUUCGACAUACCUUG